CUUCGAAACCUAAUUUCCCGACUCUCUCUCUCAGCAAUCUGCGACCUUUCUUUCUCCCCACCACCACCAGCGCUUCGCCGACGACCACCAACACCACUGCCUCCCGGUUCUCCGACGACCACCACCACUAGCGCAUCUCGGCUCUCAGACGACCACCACCACCAGCACCAGCGCCUCCCAAUUCUCCGACGACCACCACCACCAGAGCCGCUCUCAGACGACCACCACCACCAGCACCAGCGCCCCCCGAUUCUCCAACCACCACCAUCGCCACCAGGCCUCCCGGCUCUCCGAAGACCACCACCACCAGAGCCUCCUGCUCUCCGACGACCACCACCAAAGCCGCUCUCUUUAUCGGAUGAAGGUAUUGGUGGGAAUGUUAUUAGGCUGGUGUUUGUCUAAGAUAGUCGGCUCUCAAUUACAAAAACUUCUUCCAAAAACUAAGGCGGCGGCUGGCCGGAACUCUUUUCCGAUUGAUGAUGACGAUGAGGGGUUUACUGUGGAAACAAGAGAUGUUUCACCCGCACAUUUUUUGACAAAAAUCGAAUCCUUCUCCUUAUUUUCCGAGUAUGGUCCAAAGAAUUUGAUGUAGGAGAUUACAAAUGGAGACUUAUAAUCUAUCCGUAUGGCAAAGAAAAAGACCAUAGCCAUGUUUCGGUAUACCUGGCUAUGGCGGAGACAAGUUCUUUACCUAUAGACUGGGAGUUCAAUGCCAAUUUCACCAUCUUUCUCUACAAUCAAAUAUCUAUGUUUUCGAUUAAACGGAGGGCGGCGCUUUAAUGAAACAAAGUCCAAUUGGGGAUUUUCCAAAUUUAUCUCUACGGAAAGUUUGAAAACUAAAUCAAACGGAUACCUGGUUGACGACAACUUUGUUCUUGGCGCUGAAGUUUUUUGUAACCACGAAAGACCACGAGUUAUUGAGAAUGUGACUUUGCUUAGGCGUGCAACAUAUCCAUAUACACGCGCAUGGAAGAUUGUAGGUUUCUCUAAGUUGGAAGAUGUUUGGGAGUCUGAAGAGUUCACCAUAAGAGAUGUCGAUUGG